AUUGAACGCUGGCGGCAGGCUUAACACAUGCAAGUCGAGCGGGGUGAAGUGCUUCGGUACUGAUCCUAGCGGCGGACGGGUGAGUAAUGCUUAGGAAUCUGCCAUUUAGUGGGGGACAACAUUCCGAAAGGAAUGCUAAUACCGCAUACGUCCUACGGGAGAAAGCAGGGGAUCUUCGGACCUUGCGCUAAAUGAUGAGCCUAAGUCGGAUUAGCUAGUUGGUGGGGUAAAGGCCUACCAAGGCGACGAUCUGUAGCGGGUCUGAGAGGAUGAUCAGCAAAGCUGGGACUGAGACACGGCCACGACUCCUACGGGAGGCAGCAGUGGGGAAUAUUGGACAAUGGGCGGAAGCCUGAUCCAGCCAUGCCGCGUGUGUGAAGAAGGCCUUUUGGUUGUAAAGCACUUUAAGCGAGGAGGAGGCUACCUGGAUUAAUACUCUGGGAUAGUGGACGUUACUCGCAGAAUAAGCACCGGCUAACUCUGUGCCAGCAGCCGCCGUAA
rnacentral:rRNA from 1 species